rnacentral:lncRNA from 1 species
UUGCCUUUAGCCAUUCUCUCCCUCCCUGCUCAAGCUCCUAGCACCACACGCCAAGUUCUUGAGGAACUCUCCUCUCAGCUUCUCCCUCAGUUUUCUCCAAGUCACCCAGCCGCUUGCUCCUCCGUGCUGCGUAAAAGCUUACUUGUGAUCUGCAAGAAGCACCGCCGCCGCCGGAGCAUUGCCGGUCUUAGCCGUUGUUCAAGCUUUGGUCCCUCCACCCAAGUCUGCCUCUUUCCGACCCCAAGCUUUCCUUUCAGGAAGAAGGUAAGUUGCCGACCCCAGUCUGCUUCGCCCGACCCCGGUUCCGUCUCGCCCGACCCUAUCUGUUCCGCCGACCCUUAUCCGCCUCGCCCGAGGGCUCGGCUGUGAUCUUUUUCUUCAACCCGAGGGUGUAUGUGUAAAACUUAGGAACCCUCCAGCGCUUGCGUACGAGGACCCCUAGUAUACCACAUCCUCUAGUUCAAGGAUCAGAUCAUAAGUCCCUUUCCGACCCUUGCCUCUUGAUCUUCACCAGCUCUCUUGAACCUCCCUACC